rnacentral:rRNA from 1 species
GAUGAACGCUGGCGGCGUGCCUAAUACAUGCAAGUCGAGCGAACAGACGAGGAGCUUGCUCCUCUGACGUUAGCGGCGGACGGGUGAGUAACACGUGGAUAACCUGCCUAUAAGACUGGGAUAACUUCGGGAAACCUGAGCUAAUACCGGAUAAUAUAUUGAACCGCAUGGUUCAAUAGUGAAAGACGGUUUUGAUGUCACUUAGAGAUGGAUCCGCGCCGCAUUAGCUAGUUGGUAAGGUAACGGCUUACCAAGGCAACGAUGCGUAGCCGACCUGAGAGGGUGAUCGGCCACACUGGAACUGAGACACGGUCCAGACUCCUACGGGAGGCAGCAGUAGGGAAUCUUCCGCAAUGGGCGAAAGCCUGACGGAGCAACGCCGCGUGAGUGAUGAAGGUCUUCGGAUCGUAAAACUCUGUUAGUAGGGAAGAACAAAUGUGUAAGUAACUAUGCACGUCUUGACGGUACCUACUCAGAAAGCCACGGCUAACUACGUG